rnacentral:rRNA from 1 species
GACGAACGCUGGCGGCGUGCUUAACACAUACAAGUCGAACGGAAAGGCCCUGCUUGCAGGGUACUCGAGUGGCGAACGGGUGAGUAACACGUGGGUGAUCUGCCCUGCACUUCGGGAUAAGCCUGGGAAACUGGGUCUAAUACCGGAUAGGAGCCAUUUUUAGUGUGAUGGUUGGAAAGUUUUUUCGGUGUAGGAUGAGCUCGCGGCCUAUCAGCUUGUUGGUGGGGUAAUGGCCUACCAAGGCGGCGACGGGUAGCCGGCCUGAGAGGGUGGACGGCCACAUUGGGACUGAGAUACGGCCCAGACUCCUACGGGAGGCAGCAGUGGGGAAUAUUGCACAAUGGGCGCAAGCCUGAUGCAGCGACGCCGCGUGGGGGAUGACGGCCUUCGGGUUGUAAACUCCUUUCGCUAGGGACGAAGCUUUUUGUGACGGUACCUAGAUAAGAAGCACCGGCUAACUACGUG